UCUACCAAAGGAUAAUAGUAUUCCACUGGUCUUAG
rnacentral:tRNA from 2 species